GACGGGGGCCCGCGACAAGCGGUGGAGCAUGUGGUUUAAUUCGAUGAUACGCGAGGAACCUUACCUGGGCUCAAAUGUAUGUGACGUAUUCUGAAAGGGAUACUUCUUCGGACAAUAUACGAGGUGCUGCAUGGUUGUCGUCAGCUCGUGCCGUGAGGUGUCGGGUUAAGUCCCAUAACGAGCGCAACCCCUACCUUUAGUUGCCAUCAGGUUAAGCUGGGGACUCUAAAGGAACUGCCUACGCAAGUAGUGAGGAAGGCGGGGAUGACGUCAAAUCAGCACGGCCCUUACGUCCAGGGCUACACACGUGCUACAAUGGCCGAUACAGAGGGCAGCUACCUGGUGACAGGAUGCAAAUCUCCAAAGUCGGUCUCAGUUCGGAUCGGAGUCUGCAACCCGACUCCGUGAAGUUGGAUUCGCUAGUAAUCGCGCAUCAGCCAUGGCGCGGUGAAUACGUUCCCGGGCCUU
rnacentral:rRNA from 1 species